rnacentral:misc_RNA from 1 species
AAGUCGUAACAAGGUUUCCGUAGGUGAACCUGCGGAAGGAUCAUCAUUGAAUAAACUUGCACAGGUUGUUGCUGGCUCUCUGGGGCAUGUGCACGCCUGUCAUCUUUAUUUCUCCAACUGUGCACAUAUUGUAGACCUGGAGUUUUUGUUCUGAAAUCAUUUUCGAGUUGGGACUGCUGUGCUUCAUUCGGUUGAAGUGGGCUUUUCCUUACAUUUCUGGGUCUAUGUCAUUUCACAACCUCAUUUAGAAUGUCGAACCUAUAAAAGUUAAAUAUACAACUUUCAGCAACGGAUCUCUUGGCUCUCGCAUCGGUGAAGAACGCAGCGAAAUGCGAUAAGUAAUGUGAAUUGCAGAAUUCAGUGAAUCAUCGAAUCUUUGAACGCACCUUGCACCCUUUGGUAUUCCGAAGGGUAUGCCUGUUUGAGUGUCAUUAUAUUCUCAACCAUUGAACUUGUUUCUUUGGCUUGGAUGUGGGGGUUGCGGGCUUCGCAAGAGGUCGGCUCUCCUUAAAUGCAUUAGUGGAAACCGCUUGCAGGAUUCAUUCACUUUUUGGCGUGAUAGUAUCGUCGUCAAAGGCAUAUGUCUCCGAGGUGUCUGCUCUCUAACCGUCCGUAAAGGACUCUUAAUGACUUGUUUGACCUCAAAUCAGGUAGGACUACCCGCUGAACUUAAGCAUAUCAAUAAGCGGAGGAAAAGAAACUAACAAGGAUUCCCCUAGUAACUGCGAGUGAAGAGGGAAAAGCUCAAAUUUAAAAUCUGGCGGUCAUAUGGCCGUCCGAGUUGUAAUUUAGAGAA